rnacentral:rRNA from 1 species
AAUGGGCGCAAGCCUGAUGCAGCAACGCCGCGUGAAUGAUGAAGGCCUUCGGGUCGUAAAGUUCUGUCCUAAGGGAAGAAUACAGUGACGGUACCUUAGGAGGAAGCCCCGGCUAACUACGUGCCAGCAGCCGCGGUAAUACGUAGGGGGCAAGCGUUAUCCGGAAUCACUGGGCGUAAAGGGAGCGUAGGCGGUUUGACAAGCCAGAGGUGAAAGGCAAUAGCUUAACUAUUGUAAGCCUUUGGAACUGUCGAACUUGAGUGUAGGAGAGGAAAGUGGAAUUCCUAGUGUAGCGGUGAAAUGCGUAGAUAUUAGGAGGAACACCAGUGGCGAAGGCGACUUUCUGGACUAUAACUGACGCUGAGGCUCGAAAGCGUGGGGAGCAAA